AGUGAACGCUGGCGGUAGGCCUAACACAUGCAAGUCGAACGGCAGCACAGUAAGAGCUUGCUCUUACGGGUGGCGAGUGGCGGACGGGUGAGGAAUACAUCGGAAUCUACUUUUUCGUGGGGGAUAACGUAGGGAAACUUCCGCUAAUACCGCAUACGACCUACGGGUGAAAGUAGGGGAUCUUCGGACCUUGCGCGAUUGAAUGAGCCGAUGUCGGAUUAGCUAGUUGGCGGGGUAAAGGCCCACCAAGGCGACGAUCCGUAGCUGGUCUGAGAGGAUGAUCAGCCACACUGGAACUGAGACACGGUCCAGACUCCUACGGGAGGCAGCAGUGGGGAAUAUUGGACAAUGGGCGCAAGCCUGAUCCAGCCAUACCGCGUGGGUGAAGAAGGCCUUCGGGUUGUAAAGCCCUUUUGUUGGGAAAGAAAAGCAGCAGGUUAAUACCCCGCUGUUCUGACGGUACCCAAAGAAUAAGCACCGGCUAACUUCGUG
rnacentral:rRNA from 1 species